GACGAACGCUGGCGGCGUGCUUAACACAUGCAAGUCGAACGGAAAGGCCCUGCUUUUGUGGGGUGCUCGAGUGGCGAACGGGUGAGUAACACGUGAGUAACCUGCCCUUGACUUUGGGAUAACUUCAGGAAACUGGGGCUAAUACCGGAUAGGAGCUCCUGCUGCAUGGUGGGGGUUGGAAAGUUUCGGCGGUUGGGGAUGGACUCGCGGCUUAUCAGCUUGUUGGUGGGGUAGUGGCUUACCAAGGCUUUGACGGGUAGCCGGCCUGAGAGGGUGACCGGCCACAUUGGGACUGAGAUAAGGCCCAGACUCCUACGGGAGGCAGCAGUGGGGAAUAUUGAACAAUGGGCGGAAGCCUGAUGCAGCAACGCCGCGUGCGGGAUGACGGCCUUCGGGUUGUAAACCGCUUUCGCCUGUGACGAAGCGUGAGUGACGGUAAUGGGUAAAGAAGCACCGGCUAACUACGUG
rnacentral:rRNA from 1 species